rnacentral:rRNA from 1 species
GACGAACGCUGGCGGCGUGCUUAACACAUGCAAGUGGAGCGACGAACCAGGGCUUGCCCUGGGGCAGAGCCGCGAACGGGUGAGUAACACGUGGGUAACGUGCCCCGAUGACUGGGACAACCCGGGGAAACCCGGGCUAAUACCGGAUGUGCCCCCUCACAUCAGUGAGGUGUGUAAAGGAAGCUUCGGCCUCCGCAUCGGGAUCGGCCCGCGGCCCAUUAGCUUGUUGGUGAGGUAACGGCUCACCAAGGCUGCGAUGGGUAGCUGGUCUGAGAGGACGAUCAGCCACACUGGGACUGAGGCACGGCCCAGACUCCUACGGGAGGCAGCAGUGGGGAAUCUUGCGCAAUGCGCGAAAGCGUGACGCAGCAACGCCGCGUGGGGGAAGACGGCCUUCGGGUUGUAAACCCCUUUCAGUUGGGACGAAGGUCGGGCGGUUAACAGCCGUUCCGGCUGACGGUACCUUCACAAGAAGCCCCGGCUAACUACGUG